UACGUAGGGGGCAAGCGUUGUCCGGAUUUAUUGGGCGUAAAGGGUGCGUAGGCGGCGCGGUAAGUCGGGUGUGAAAUCUUGGAGCUUAACUCCGAAACUGCAUUCGAUACUGCCGUGCUUAAGGACUGGAGAGGAGACUGGAAUUUACGGUGUAGCGGUGAAAUGCGUAGAUAUCGUAAGGAAGACCAGUGGCGAAGGCGGGUCUCUGGACAGUUACUGACGCUGAGGCACGAAGGCGAGGGGAGCAAACGGG
rnacentral:rRNA from 1 species